GGGUAUAGGCUUUCGGGCCUAGAGACCGGCGCACGGGUGCGUAACGCGUAUGCAAUCUACCUUUCACAGAGGGAUAGCCCAGAGAAAUUUGGAUUAAUACCUCAUGGUAUAUAGGAGUGGCAUCACUUUUAUAUUAAAGUCACAACGGUGAAAGAUGAGCAUGCGUCCCAUUAGCUAGUUGGUAAGGUAACGGCUUACCAAGGCGACGAUGGGUAGGGGUCCUGAGAGGGAGAUCCCCCACACUGGUACUGAGACACGGACCAGACUCCUACGGGAGGCAGCAGUGAGGAAUAUUGGUCAAUGGGCGCAAGCCUGAACCAGCCAUGCCGCGUGCAGGAUGAAGCAUCUAUGGUGUGUAAACUGCUUUUGUACGGGAAGAAACAGAGGUUCGUGAACCUCCUUGACGGUACCGUAAGAAUAAGGAUCGGCUAACUCCGUGCCAGCAGCCGCGGUAAUACGGAGGAUCCAAGCGUUAUCCGGAAUCAUUGGGUUUAAAGGGUCCGUACGCGGUUUAGUAAGUCAGUGGUGAAAGCCCAUCGCUCAACGGUGGAACGGCCAUUGAUACUGCUAGACUUGAAUUAUUAGGAAGUAACUAGAAUAUGUAGUGUAGCGGUGAAAUGCUUAGAUAUUACAUGGAAUACCAAUUGCGAAGGCAGGUUACUACUAAUGGAUUGACGCUGAUGGACGAAAGCGUGGGUAG
rnacentral:rRNA from 1 species